CAUGAGCCAUAUGACCACUGUCAAUAGUCAGCAGCAUAGAUAAAGACAAGUUGUCCUUGACCUAUUCCACAUGGCCACAAUCAUAACAAAACAUUGUAAACAUUUGGAAAGACAAAAGUACUAAUUUUUAAUGCUAAAUAAAAGUUGAACAAAGUGUUUAUGUUGGUGAAAUAUGGGUGACCGAAAAAUUUAUAGUAUCAGAUUCAAUCAAGAUCAUGGCUGUUUUACCGCCAGUAUGGAGAACGGUGUGCGUAUAUACAAUGUGGAACCCUUGGUGGAAAAAUCACACUACGAUGUAGAAGCUGUAGGUAGUGUUGCAUCAUGUGAAAUGUUGUUCAGAACAAAUAUAUGGGCAAUUAUUCCGGGGGGGAUGCGUCCGAAAGUUCCCGAAAAUAUUCUGCAAUUCUAUGAUGAAUCACAGAAAAAAGCCAUAAUGGAAAUUAAAUUUGCAGCCGCUGUUAAAUCUGUGCGCUUCAGAAGAGAUAAACUUGUGGUUGUUUUGCCAAAUAGAAUCCACCUAUUUUCGUUUUUGCAACCCACUAGAGAGUUAUUUUCGGUUGAAACCAGAGCAAACCCAAAAUGAUUAUGUGAAAUUACCCCCCUGCAGAAUUCACAUAGACAAAUCUUGGUUUUUCCAGGCCACAAAUUGGGAAGCGUUCAAAUUAUGGAAUUAAGCAGUACUUUUCAAAGUUAUUCCAGCGCCCCGGUUUACCUGCAAGCACAUAAAAACAAAUUGGCUUGCAUUGCAAUAAACCAACAAAGCAAGAGAAUAGCAACUGCUUCUGAACAAGGCACUUUAAUUCGAGUGUGGGAUACCAGCACAAGAAACC
rnacentral:misc_RNA from 1 species